rnacentral:rRNA from 1 species
AUGGAGGUCGCAUGGUUCCUCCUGCUCUUCAUCCCGCUCUUCGUCCGCCUACUCGCGCACCACGGCGCCGCUAAACCCAAGAUCCCGCCGGGCCCGAUCGCCGUGCUGUUGCUGCGCAUCUCCUUGGUUGACGCUGAGCACCUCCUCCGGUGCCUCUCCAUCUUCGUGGCUGACCGAAGCUCGCAGCGCGAUUGGCUCAUGUUCGCCGCGCGGAAAACGAGUGUCUUCGCCUUCUUUUCGGCCAUCACCAAGCGUAUCUUCCGCGGGCGUCUCAAGACGGCGCUCGCCUUGAGGCAACGGCACAAGGAGCUCUUCCUGCCGCUGAUUGACCCGCGGAGGGAGCGCAAGAAGCAACAGAUCAAGCCAGUGCCAUUGCCAACGGAGGAGGACACGACGCUGGAGGUUGCAGGCGACGAGGUGGACUUGGCCGAGAAGCCUGAGUUCACCGUCGUCAUGGCCAAGCCGCUACGCGCGCGGCUGCUGCCCAGAACCAUAUAA